AACCCCACAGCCUACCUGAGUAUUGUUGCUGACCAUGUCCAUCCCUUUAUGACUACAGUGUACCCAUCUUCUGAUGGUUACUUCCAGCAGGAUAAUGCACCAUGUCACAAAGCCUAAAUCAUCUCAGACUGGUUUCUUGAACAUGACAAUGAGUUCACUUUACUGAAACGGCCUCCACAGUCACCAGAUCUUAAUCCAAUAGAGCAUCUUUGGGAUGUGGUGGAACGGGAGAUUCACAUCAUGGAUGUGCAGCCGACAAAUCUGCAGCAACUAAUUGAUUCUAUCAUGCCAAUAUGGACCAAAAUGUUUCCAACACCUUGUUGAAUCUAUGCCACAUAAAAUUAAGGCAGUUCUGAAGACAAAAGGGGGUCCAACCCGGUACUAGCAAGGUGUACCUAAUAAAAUGGCCAGUGAGUGUAUAUGUGUGUGCGUGUAUGUGUGUAUGUGUAAAAUUAUAUAUCAGUCUGGCAGGUAAACAAAACAUUUUCAUAUCCAAUGGCGAUUAUAUUGCCAAGAUGUAUGUAGAAGGUUGAUAUAAACCAAUUUGAUGUUAUAUAAUACAUAUUAUAAAUGAGGUAAAACAUACUUUCUGCAUUUUCCUUUUAAAAUAAAACCUCCAGUUCCUCAUUGCGACUGGAAAUCUUUUUGAAAAAUGUUUAGGCUCAAACAGCACAUAAAUAUCAUUCUAAAACAAUACAUUGUUACAAAACACAUUUUGUGAAUAAGAUUAAACACCUCAUUUCUGUGUUUACCAUCCUUGUAUGCUCCACAUCACUAGUUAAACAAAAAUGGCUUCUGUGAGAAAUGUUUCAGCUGGUUUAGGUGUGCACGAAUAGUAAGAUUGCACAUUGCAAAUUUGUGAAGCCGACACUGCACAUUAAAGGGAUAGUUCACCCAAAAAUGAAAAUUAUGUCAUUAAUGACUCACCCUCAUCUUUCUGUCCCUCCAUUGAGAAUGUAUGUACGGUAUACUGUCCACGUCCAGAAAGGUAAUAAAAACAUCUUCAAAGUAGUCCAUGUGACAUCAGAGGGUCCGUUAGAAUUUUUUGAAGCAUCGAAAAUACAUUUUGGUCCAAAAAUAUCAAAAACUACGACUUUAUUCAGCGUUGUCUUCUCUCCCGGGUCUGUUAUGAGCGCGUUCACAACACUGCAGUUUAGUGAUAUCCGGUUCGCGAACGAAUCACUCGAUGUAACCGGAUCUUCUUGAACCAGUUCACCAAAUCGAACUGAAUCGUUUGAAAUGGUUCGCGUCAACAAUAAGCAUUAAUCUACAAAUGACUUAAGCCGUUAGCUUUUUUAACAUGGCUGACACUCCCUCUGAGUUCAAAUAAACCAAUAUCCCAGAGUAAUUAAUUUACUCAAACAGUACACUGACUGAACUGCUGUGAAGAUAGAAGUGAAGAUGAACACCGAGCCGAGCCAGAUAACGAACGAAACAUUGACUCGUUCUCGAGUCAAGAACCGUUUCUGUCGGACGCGUCCGGUUCGAGAACCGAGGAGCUGAUGAUACUGCGCAUGCGUGAUUCAGCGUGAAGCAGACUGACACACAGCGCCUCUGAACCGAGCUGGUUCUUUUGGUGAUUGAUUCUGUGCUAAUGUUAUGAGCGCUGGUAAACCGAAGGCUUGAAUCAAGGGCAAUCAUCGCCAAUGAAGUCAUUACGUCGAGCGCAAAAGAACUGGUGAACCGUUUUUGGCAACCGGUUUAUUGAAUCAAACUGUCCGAAAGAACCGGUUCGUGGAAAAGAACAGAACUUCCCAUCAAUACCGGUGAUCCGAAAACCGAUGCAACCGGUUCUUGACUCGAGAACGAGUCAAUGUUUCGUUCGUUAUCUGGCUCGGCUCGGUGUUCAUCUUCACUUCUCUCUUCACAGCAGUUCAGUCAGUGUACUGUUUGAGUAAAUGAAUUACUCCGGGAUAUUGGUUUAUUUGAACUCAGAGGGAGUGUCAGCCAUGUUAAAAAAGUUAACGGCUUAAGUCAUUUGUGGAUUAAUGCUUAUUGUUGACGCGAACCGUUUCAAACGAUUCAGUUCGAUUUGGUGAACUGGUUCAAGAAGAUCCGGUUACAUCGAGUGAUUCGUUCGCGAACCGGAUAUCACUAAAUUGCAGUGUUGUGAACGCGCUCAUAACAGACCCGGGAGAGAAGUCAAUGCUGAAUAAAGUCGUAGUUUUUGAUAUUUUUGGACCAAAAUGUAUUUUCGAUGCUUCAAAAAAUUCUAAAUUCUCUGAUGUCACAUGGACUACUUUGAAGAUGUUUUUAUUACCUUUCUGGACGUGGACAGUAUACCGUACAUACAUUCUCAAUGGAGGACAGAAAGCUCUCGGACUAAAUCUAAAAUAUCUUAUACUGUGUUCCGAAGAUGAACGGAGGUCUCACGGGUUUGGAACGACAUGAGGGUGAGUCAUUAAUGACAUAAUUUUCAUUUUUGGGUGAACUAUCCCUUUAAAUAAAGUUAUUAGCUGGGUUCUAAAAUCCCUUGAUUUUUUUUUUUACAUAUGAUAAGUCAUUUUACUAUGAAAACAUCCUGUACGUUUCAGAACUCAAAAUUUAUUGUUAGUCUAAAAACAGCUU
ensembl:lncRNA